UCACAGCUUUAUUAAUAGAAGCCAAACUCUCUGUGGGCUUCUCACAGUGUACCCAUUGCCAGAGUAAACUGCAGCCUUGAACCAUUGCUCAGCCUCCUUACCCAUGAGCUAUGAACACUGAAGCAGGUUGCACAGUG
rnacentral:snoRNA from 1 species